rnacentral:rRNA from 1 species
GACGAACGCUGGCGGCGUGCCUAAUACAUGCAAGUAGAACGCUGAAGAGAGGAGCUUGCUCUUCUUGGAUGAGUUGCGAACGGGUGAGUAACGCGUAGGUAACCUGCCUUGUAGCGGGGGAUAACUAUUGGAAACGAUAGCUAAUACCGCAUAACAAUGGAUGACACAUGUCAUUUAUUUGAAAGGGGCAAUUGCUCCACUACAAGAUGGACCUGCGUUGUAUUAGCUAGUAGGUGAGGUAAUGGCUCACCUAGGCGACGAUACAUAGCCGACCUGAGAGGGUGAUCGGCCACACUGGGACUGAGACACGGCCCAGACUCCUACGGGAGGCAGCAGUAGGGAAUCUUCGGCAAUGUGGGCAACCCUGACCGAGCAACGCCGCGUGAGUGAAGAAGGUUUUCGGAUCGUAAAGCUCUGUUGUAAGUCAAGAACGGGUGUGAGAGUGGAAAGUUCACACUGUGACGGUAGCUUACCAGAAAGGGACGGCUAACUACGUG